rnacentral:rRNA from 1 species
AGAGUUUGAUCCUGGCUCAGGACGAACGCUGGCGGCGUGCCUAAUACAUGCAAGUCGAGCGAAUCUGAGGGAGCUUGCUCCCAAAGAUUAGCGGCGGACGGGUGAGUAACACGUGGGCAACCUGCCUGUAAGACUGGGAUAACUUCGGGAAACCGGAGCUAAUACCGGAUAAUUCUUUUCCUCUCAUGAGGAAAAGCUGAAAGAUGGUUUCGGCUAUCACUUACAGAUGGGCCCGCGGCGCAUUAGCUAGUUGGUGAGGUAACGGCUCACCAAGGCAACGAUGCGUAGCCGACCUGAGAGGGUGAUCGGCCACACUGGGACUGAGACACGGCCCAGACUCCUACGGGAGGCAGCAGUAGGGAAUCUUCCGCAAUGGACGAAAGUCUGACGGAGCAACGCCGCGUGAGUGAUGAAGGUUUUCGGAUCGUAAAACUCUGUUGUUAGGGAAGAACAAGUAUCGGAGUAACUGCCGGUACCUUGACGGUACCUAACCAGAAAGCCACGGCUAACUACGUGCCAGCAGCCGCGGUAAUACGUAGGUGGCAAGCGUUGUCCGGAAUUAUUGGGCGUAAAGCGCGCGCAGGUGGUUUCUUAAGUCUGAUGUGAAAGCCCCCGGCUCAACCGGGGAGGGUCAUUGGAAACUGGGAGACUUGAGUGCAGAAGAGGAAAGUGGAAUUCCAAGUGUAGCGGUGAAAUGCGUAGAGAUUUGGAGGAACACCAGUGGCGAAGGCGACUUUCUGGUCUGUAACUGACACUGAGGCGCGAAAGCGUGGGGAGCGAACAGGAUUAGAUACCCUGGUAGUCCACGCCGUAAACGAUGAGUGCUAAGUGUUAGGGGGUUUCCGCCCCUUAGUGCUGCAGCAAACGCAUUAAGCACUCCGCCUGGGGAGUACGGCCGCAAGGCUGAAACUCAAAGGAAUUGACGGGGGCCCGCACAAGCGGUGGAGCAUGUGGUUUAAUUCGAAGCAACGCGAAGAACCUUACCAGGUCUUGACAUCCUCUGACAACUCUAGAGAUAGAGCGUUCCCCUUCGGGGGACAGAGUGACAGGUGGUGCAUGGUUGUCGUCAGCUCGUGUCGUGAGAUGUUGGGUUAAGUCCCGCAACGAGCGCAACCCUUGUCCUUAGUUGCCAGCAUUCAGUUGGGCACUCUAAGGAGACUGCCGGUGACAAACCGGAGGAAGGUGGGGAUGACGUCAAAUCAUCAUGCCCCUUAUGACCUGGGCUACACACGUGCUACAAUGGAUGGUACAAAGGGCUGCAAGACCGCGAGGUUUAGCCAAUCCCAUAAAACCAUUCUCAGUUCGGAUUGCAGGCUGCAACUCGCCUGCAUGAAGCCGGAAUCGCUAGUAAUCGCGGAUCAGCAUGCCGCGGUGAAUACGUUCCCGGGCCUUGUACACACCGCCCGUCACACCACGAGAGUUUGUAACACCCGAAGUCGGUGGGGUAACCGUAAGGAGCCAGCCGCCUAAGGUGGGACAGAUGAUUGGGGUGAAGUCGUAACAAGGUAGCCGUAUCGGAAGGUGCGGCUGG